ensembl:lncRNA
UAAAGAAACAGCAUUUAUAUUUUGUGGAAGACUUCUGCACAAAAACCCAAUGAUACCAUGUCCUACCUAUUUGUUACAGGUGGUGACCCCUAUAAACUCCCAGUGGAUUAAAGGACUGAAGGUCUUUCAGAGACACAGUUCUACCACAAGGUGCAAGUUUUAAGAAAUACGACAGUACGUGUAAACCCAAUAUAUCUCAGCGAUGAUAUGGCAGAAAAUGAGAGUGAUAACACUACUGGGACUGGAAUCUGGGUCCCUGCAUCUGACAGUCUUAUGACCUUAGCAAUUACACUCAAAAGAAGUCCAAACCUCAACGGGGUUGCACUACUAGAUGCUACAUAUUAAAAUACACGGUGCAUUCGGAAAGGAUUUUGUUACGUUGUAGCCUUAUUCUAAACUUGAUUCAAUUGUCUCCCCCCCCAUCAAUCUACACAUAAUGAAAAGCAAAAACAGGUUUUAGAAAUGUUAGCAAAUGUAUUAAAAACAAAGAAAUGUAAAUGGGAUAUUUCAGAAGUAUUCAGACCCUUUACUCAGUACUUUGUUGAAGCACCUUUGGCAGUGAUUACAGCCUCAAGUCUUCUUGGGUAUGAUGCUACAAGCUUGGCACACCUGUAUUUGGGGAGUUUUUCCUUUUCUUCUCUGCAGAUCCUCUCAAGCUGUGUCAGGUUGGAUGGGAGUGUCGCUGCACAGCUAUUUUUUGGUCUCCAGAAAUGUUUGAUCGGGUUCAAGUCCGCGCUCUGGCUGGGCCAAUCAAGGACAUUCAGAGACUUGUCCCGAAGUCACUCCUGUGUUGUCUUGGCUCUGUGCUUAGGGUCGUUGUCCUGCUGGAAAAUGAACCUUCACCCCACUCUGAAGCCCUGAGCGCUCUGGAGCAGGUUUUCAUCAAGGAUUUCUCUGUACUUUGCUCUGUUUUGCUUUCCCUCAAUCCUGACUAGUCUCCCAGUCCCUGAAAAACAUCCCCACAGCAUGAUGCUGCCACGACCACGCUUCACUGUAGGGAUGGUGACCGGUUUCCUCCAGAGAGUGACGCUUGGCAUUCAGGCCAAAGAGUUCAAUCUUGGUUUCAUCAGACCAGAGACCACUCUACCAUAAAGGCUGGAUUGGUGGAGUGCUGCAGAGAUGGUUGUCCUUCUGGAAGUUUCUCCCCAGAAGAACUCUGGAGCUCUGUCAGAGUGACCAUUGGGUUCUUGGUCUCCUCCCUGACCAAGGCCCUUCUACCCCGAUUGCUCAGUUGGCCGGGCGGUUCCAAACUUCUUCAAUUUAAGAAUGAUGGAGGCCACUGUGUUUUUGGGGACCUUUAAUGCUACAGAAAUGUUUUGGUACCUUUCCCCAGAUCUGUGCCUCGACACAAUCCUGUCUCGGCGCUCUACGGACAAUUCUGUCGACCUCAUGGCUUGGUUUUUGCUCUGACAUGCACUGUCAACUGUGGGACCUUAUAUAGACCGGUGUGUGCCUUUCCAAAUAAUUUCCAAUCAAUUGAAUUUACCACAGGUGGACUCCAUUCAAGUUGUAUAAAAUCUUAAGGAUGAUCAAUGGAAACAGGAUGCACCUGAGCUCAAUUUUGAGUUUCAAACCAAAGGGUCUGAAUACUUAUGUAAAUAAGGUAUUUCUGUUUUUAUUUUUAAUACCAUUUUCAAACAUUUCUAAAAACCUGUUUUCGCUAUGUUAUUAUGGGUAUUGUGUGUAGAUUGAAGGAAAAAAUAAUUGUAUACAUUUUAGAAUAAGGUUGUAGUGUAACAAAAUGAGGAAAAAGCGAUCUGAAUACUUUCUGAAUGCACUGUAUACAAUGAGCUACAAAAGCAUUGGGACAGUGACACAAUUCUUUGUUGUUUUGGCUCUGUACUCCAGCACUUCGGAUUUGAAAUUAUACAAUGACUGAUGUUAAAGGUAUUUUCCUCCAUACCGGGUGAACCUCUUACCAAUUAAAUAACUUUUUUUGUACAUAGUGCUACCUUGAUUACGGAUAGUCCUGAAUGAAUCGUGAAUAAAGAGGAGUGAGAAAGUUAUACGCACAAAUAUCAUACCCCCAAGACAUACUAACCUCUCACCAUUACAAUAACGGGUGGUUAGCAUUUUAGGGGGGAGGGGGGGGGAUGAUAUUUGUGCGUCUGUAACUUACCCCCUAAUCGUUAUUCACAAUUCAUUCAGGACUAUCUGUAAUCAUGGUAGCAUCCACGUAUAUGCAGAAGUAUUCAAAUUCUACUCUUAUUUACAAUAAAAGUGACUCAAAUGAUAAAAUACAUUAUUUACCAUUCAUUUCUAAAGGGCCGAAAAUGAUCUGAAACAUAAAAUAAUGUGAAGCACAACAAAACAAACAGCAAAUGCAUCCAACAAGUUUGUAGAGUCCCAAGAUUGAUGUAAUCAUUGCAUGCUAGGAAUAUGGGACCAAAUACUAUCUCAAAUGAGUGCAGGAAAUGCAGAAAAUUAGGUUGAAGUUGAAUUGAACUGUAUAUAACAAUCAGGAUGGAGAAAGACCCAUUGAAAUCAUUUAGAAUAUGUGUUGCCACCCUAAUGUCACGCCCUGGUCUUAGUUAUCUGUGUUUUCUUUAUUAUUUUGGUUAGGCCAGGGUGUGACAUGGGUGAUUUAUUGUGUUUCAGCCAGCCCACAUGGGACUGUUUUCGGGUUUUCACGUUUAUUGUUUUUUAUUUCUCUCCUUCCCAGGAGGAAAGCCGUUAAAGAACCACCCACCAAAACAGGACCAAGCGGCGUGGUAACGGGCAGCAGCAACAGCGGCCGAAGAAUCAAGACUCUUGGACAUGGGAGGAAAUCCUCGACGGGAGAGGACCCUGGGCACAGCCAGGGGAGUAUCGCCGCCCCAAAGAAGAGCUGGAGGCAGCGAAGGCGGAGAGGCGCUGGUAUGAGGAGGCAGCACGGCGGCGUGGAUGGAGGCCCGAGAGUCAGCCCCAAAAAUGUCUUGGGGGGUUGCACACGGGGAGUAUGGCGAAGCCAGGCAGGAGACCUACGCCAACUUCCUGUGCUUACCAGGGGGCGAGAGAGACCGGGCAGGCACCGUGUUAUGCUGUGGAGCGCACGGUGUCCCCAGUGCGGGUGCAUAGCCCGGUGCGGUACAUACCAGCUCCUCGUAUCGGCCGGGCUAGAGUGGGCAUCGAGCCAGGUGUCAUGAAGCCGGCUCUACGCAUCUGGUCUCCAGUGCGUCUCCUUGGGCCGGCGUACAUGGCACCAGCCUUACGCAUGGUGUCCCCGGUUCGCCUGCACAGCCCAGUGUGCAGGCUAUUCCACCUCGCUGCACUGGCAGGGAGACCGGGAGCAUUCAAGCAGGUAAGGUUGGGCAGGCUCGGUGCUCAAGAGCUCCAGUGCGCCUGCACGGUCCGGUCUAUCCAGUACCACCUCGCCCUGAGGUGCGUGUCCUCGGGUUUUCACGUUUAUUGUUUUGUAUUUCUGUUCAUGUAUAGUUUCUCUGAUUUAAAGAACCAUGAACUUUACCCACGCUGCAUAUUGGUCCUCCGAUCCUUCUCGCCUCUCCUCUUCGGAAGAAGAGGAGCAAAUCCGUUACACCUA